rnacentral:rRNA from 1 species
GACGAACGCUGGCGGCGUGCCUAAUACAUGCAAGUCGAACGCUGAAGGAGGAGCUUGCUUCUCUGGAUGAGUUGCGAACGGGUGAGUAACGCGUAGGUAACCUGCCUGGUAGCGGGGGAUAACUAUUGGAAACGAUAGCUAAUACCGCAUAACAGUAGAUAUCGCAUGAUAUCUACUUGAAAGGUGCAAUUGCAUCACUACCAGAUGGACCUGCGUUGUAUUAGCUAGUUGGUGAGGUAACGGCGCACCAAGGCGACGAUACAUAGCCGACCUGAGAGGGUGGUCGGCCACACUGGGACGGAGACACGGCCCAGACUCCUACGGGAGGCAGCAGGAGGGAAUCUUCGGCAAUGGACGGAAGUCUGACCGAGCAACGCCGCGUGAGUGAAGAAGGUUGUCGGAUCGUAAAGCUCUGUUGUAAGAGAAGAACGAGUGUGAGAGUGGAAAGUUCACACUGUGACGGUAUCUUACCAGAAAGGGACGGCUAACUACGUG